GCUGGGUGUGGUGGUGAGCACCUAUAAUCCCAGCUACUCGGGAGGCUGAGACAGGAGACUCACUUGAACCCGGGAGGCGUAGGUUGCAGUGAGCCGAGAUUGCACCACUGCAGUCUAGCCUGGGUGACAGAGUGCGAUUCUGUCUCAA
rnacentral:SRP_RNA from 1 species